UACGGAGGGUGCAAGCGUUAAUCGGAAUUACUGGGCGUAAAGCGUGCGUAGGCGGUUCGUUAAGUCUGUUGUGAAAGCCCCGGGCUCAACCUGGGAAUGGCAAUGGAUACUGGCGAGCUAGAGUGUGUCAGAGGAUGGUGGAAUUCCCGGUGUAGCGGUGAAAUGCGUAGAGAUCGGGAGGAACAUCAGUGGCGAAGGCGGCCAUCUGGGACAACACUGACGCUGAGGCACGAAAGCGUGGGGGGCAAACAGG
rnacentral:rRNA from 1 species